rnacentral:lncRNA from 1 species
AUGAGAGUGUCCUGUAGACAAGGUGGGAGUUUGUGGGCAGGUUUCUGGGGCGCACGGGCCGAGUGGAGAGACCGUUGGAGGCAGAGCACACAGGACAGCUCCUGGCCCAUGGCCCAAGGCCUGUGGUGGGGAAGUGUCCUUGCCAGGUUCACGUCCCGCCAGGUGGCCCAGUUCCCACCUGAGGCCACCGUACCCCUCCAGCCCAGAACCAGCUCUGCCUCAGCCCCUCGGCCAGCUGUUUGUUUCCAGGGUAGCAAGCCCCUUCCCCCUGCCCCCAGCCUCGGAUGCCAACAGAAAAGGUAAGGCUGGUGUUUGGUUUUCUCGGGUUGAAGGGCUGGCCAGGUGUGUGUGUGUGGCGGGGGAGUGACCUGUGGGGAGAAGACAGAGCGAUGCUGCUGUCAGCCUGGGGGUCUGUCCUGAAACUCAGUGCCUCCAGCCUCAGUUUCUUGGUUGCCCUGGCAACCCGGCCACCUGACCCUUGCCGAUCAUGUUAGUGACCAGCUGUAAGGCCAACCUCCCCACCCCACACCUUAUGCUGUUCGCGGCCACUGAAUGGGCGUGGCCGGAUACAGACCCUCCCCAUCAACUUCAGGAAGUGCUGACAAGGACCCCAUCCCACUCACCCCCCAGAGUCCCCAGCGGCAGUCCCCAGGGAGAGGGGAGUGUUGCCAACGUGAGGGCGCUGGGGGGGAUCCUGGGGAGUGGGGCUGUCUGAACCGGAGGCGCAGUCUGGACCUUCUCCCAGCUGCGUCUGUUUCCUGUGGCUGCUGUGACCACGCUGAUCCCCGCCUCCUGGGGUCUGCUGUGGGGACGCUGUGGGGUCAGGCAGGAGAGUCAGGGUGAGUCCAGGCCCCCACCGCAGGGGUUGGGUCCACAGGAAGACAGGGCGGGCGGGCAGUUGCCUUGGUGGGUGGAGCUGCCAAAUCUGCCCUGCUCAGACCCCGACUGGCCUGGCCCGGGGAUGAGGGAGGGUGUGCAGGCUCCUUGCCUGUGAGGAAUGAGCUGUUCACCCUCCCA